AUUGAACGCUGGCGGCAGGCCUAACACAUGCAAGUCGAGCGAGCGGCGGACGGGUGUGUAAUUUAUGGGGGCUUCCCCAUAGCGGGGGAUAACUCCUCGAAACGCUAGAUAUUACCCCAUACUAUCUGAUAACCCCUAUGGGAUUAGCUAGUAGGUGAGGUAAUGGCUCCCCUGGGCGACGAUCCCUUGCUGGUCUGAGAGGAUGAUAAGCCACACUGGGACUGAGACACGGCCCAGACCCCUACGGAGGCAGCAGGGGGGAAUAUUGCACAAUGGGCGCAAGCCUGAUGCAGCCAUGCCGCGUGUAUGAAGAAGGCCCUAGGGUUGUAAAGUACUUUCAGUGGGGAGGCGUUACCGGCAGAAGAAGCACCGGCUAACUCCGUGCCAGCAGCCGCGGUAAUAC
rnacentral:rRNA from 1 species